rnacentral:lncRNA from 10 species
GUAGCAACUGCCUCAUCUUUUCCAUCUAUGGAGUGUGGAAUAUGUGCCCUACUUCAUUCAGGUGUGAAAAUAAAAUGAGAUAACAAAUAUCUGAUGGUUGGAAACAAGAAUGUUGGACAAACCAGCUAUUUAGAGAGUGAAGGAGAGGAACUUCCGAGAGCAACCGGCCCCCAAGAGAAACCCAGGGACUCCUGCCCUUCGGCAGCUUUGUCCAUGUGCUGCUCACACCAAAAAGCACUCGAGGGUGACCUGCACCAAAAAUGCAUUGCCGUAGUCUGGGCACAGUGGAUCACGCCUGUAAUCCCAGCUCUUUGGGAGGCCAAGGCACUGUGCUAAGUUGGACUUACAGAGAUGAAUAAGAUUUGGCCACAUCUUCAAGGAGCUCAGACCUUCAUGGACGUACCAAAUAUAUACAGAACUAACUCUACUGCUUAUCAUAAUGAGAGCUGUGCUAUGGAUAUUUGAAAGUUAGAGAGAUUUAUUUUCAACAGAAUAAUAAAGUCAACUUUCACAAACUGGUGACAGAUGAUCUGGGCCUUGCAGACAGGGGAGGACUGACAGAUUGAGAAGAGUAUUUGGUUAAAAACGGAUCAUAAACUGGUAUAAAUAUCUAAACAAACUCAUGAGAAUGAGCAGAGUCAGACACAAUAAAAUAAUUCAAAGAUAUAUCAGAUAAACCUGGACCCAAAAGUCAUGACUUUUUCUUUUCAGUUAACUCUGAACAAUUUACAAUAACUUCCUCAAUUAUUGUUUGUCUCAUUUUAACAUUUUGUAAUAACACCUAUGUCUCCAUAUUGGUAUGAAGAUUAAAUGAAAAUACAUCUAUGUUAGAUAGUCCCUAAGUUUCUGUCCCUGAUAUAAGUCCACCCUCCCCACCAUCAUGUGAUCACACGCAGGUGCACAUGCACAGAUGUAUACAUGCAUGCCGUUAUGGGGACAGUAAUUGCAAAUAUCAAUACUGUUAUGGUUGUUACUUCAGCCAUUGCACAAGUGUAGACCUCUGGAUCAACACACAUACGUAUGUGUAUGUGUAACAAAUAUAUGGCUAAUAAUGCAUAGGUUUCAUAGCUAUACCUUGAAAUCAAUUUAUUAAAGGGAUGUGUCCUUCCCAUGCUGACUCACCUACUGCGGCCCAAAAGCAACAACGUAAACUGCCCUGGAUAAAACAUCUGCAGACAAGAGAUCUCUAAGCUAAGCUACAGCUUCAUCAAGCAUGGAGUUAUCUCAUUUCAUAGCUUCACACACACAAAGGCGCGCGCACACACACACACACACACACACAGCUCUCAGCUGGAGACCGUCAGGGAAAACAAGUACCAGUGAGACCUGGGGAUCUUCAUUUGAUUUUGUCUACUGGGUGAGGCUGUGUUGAAAACACUUUGACAGAGGGCUCUUCUCUUGGGGCUCAUCAAAUAUUGCUGGUAGAGGGUUUGCUUGCUUUAAAUAUUCCUUUCCUCAGGUAACGAAGAAUACCAUGUAAUUUGUAAUGAUAACUUGGAUAAUGAAUGCACACUGUAGUCAGCCAUUACCAGUGGUAAUUGGUCUUCCUUUCAUCUCCUGUCAAGCAGAGUGGUUAGGAUUAGGACCAAAAGGCAGCUAUCAUCUCUCUCAUUUCCUGACUCAGACAAAAGGCAAAAAAAAAAAGGUGCCUGCUUGUGCUGAUAGGUGUCUGAUCAAAGCGGCUGAAAGCUGUCAGAAGCCAGCCAGCCUCAGCACCUGACUACUCCUUAAUGCAGCUUUGCCUUUGAUGUACAGGCAGUCCAACCGGGGUUCUAUUUAUGUAAAAAAAAAUAAUCAGGAUUGUAAUAGAACAGGAGAAAGUGUCAUUUUCUAUUUUGAUUCCAGUUUUGCAGUCUGACACCUAUAGGAAAUGUGGACUAAUUCUGUCCAGAGUAUGGUGUGUGUGUGUGUGUGUGUGUGUGUGUGUGUGUGUGUGUGUGUAACUCAAUAAAAUAAAAUAUCUUUGAAACUUCAUCAAAUACAUUUGGCAGUGAGCAGAAGUUAGAUUGCUGGUAGAAAGAAAUUAUCCUUCUUGGAAAGUAAAAAAAAAAUGCUUAAGUAAAAUUGCAGCAGUUUUGACAUGUGUAUUUUAUGUUUCAGAAAUUCUACAGGUUAUAGGUUUAUAAAUGGAGAACUGGUCUUGGAUUUAAAUGAAUUGGCAUCGUAUCUCAGACUUCUAGCUUUCUACCCAUGUGAAUUUAGGUGCGUACUAAUCACAUAUGUGUUUUAAGUUUAUCACUGGCUAUAUACAUGGUUACUUUUGUAUAUGCCUGUGCAUUGAAUGAAAAUACCUGGCAUGUGGUUGUUAUAAGCAAUAGACAGUUUUUGGCCAGAGAGCCAGGCAGACAAGUGUUAAUAUCACUUAAGCCCUCUGUGUCUCAAGUUCAAAAUUUCUAAAAUGAGUGAAUAUAAUAUUUGUUUGAAUUAAAGUAUACAAAGCAUGUAUCUCAGUGUCUAAGACAUUGUAAGACACCAAUAAAUGUCCAGUAUUUCUGUUGUUGUUGGUAUUUAUUUUUUAUUAAGGGAUUCUUGAAUUAAUACACCAUCCCUAGGGAAUUGCUGCCCUGUUUUCCUCAGCACUGUGAGCUUCUCCACGAACAAGACCGCUGUCUUUUAUGUCUGGGAUAGUUUGUUGAAUGAGU